rnacentral:rRNA from 1 species
UUUCCGAGUGGCGGACGGGUGAGGAGCGCGUGACUGAUCUAUCCUGUGGUGGGGGAUACCCUCCAGAAAUGGGGGUUAAGACCGCAUACGAUGGGCUGGGGGGACCCAGGCCAGGAAAGCCCUGUGAGGGGUGCCGGAGGAGGGGGUUGCGUCGGAUUAGCUAGUUGGUGUGGUAAGGGCGCACCAAGGCGAUGAUCCGUAGCUGGUCUGAGAGGACGGCCAGCCACACUGGGACUGAGACACGGCCCAGACUCCUACGGGAGGCAGCAGUUAGGGAAUUUUGUCAAUGGGCGAAAGCCUGAACGAGUGACGCCGCGUGCAGGACGGAGCCUUUCGGGGUGUAAACUGCUUUUCUUUGGGACGAGAGAGGACGGUACCAGAGGAAGAAGCAUCGGCUAACUACGUG